AGCUGCCACAGAACAGAGAAGAGGGCUAUGGCAGCAUAAGGUGCCACUGCCCCCAGGGCUGGCCACUGUGCAAGCCCCCACAGCCAUUCCACCAGCACAGCUGUGGGCUGUCAGAGGGACUAUUCAGUGCUGGGUGGUCGUUCAGUUCUCCAGGACACAGAACUGAUUGUUGUUUUUCGAGAAGAGUGAGGUGUAAUUACAAACAUCACUGACUCUAGAAACAAAGCCAAAGCUCUUAUUCAACAGGUGUUUAACUCCUUAUGACAGUGCUAUGAGAAAGACACUGUUGUGAUGACAGGCAAAGAAAUGGUAACACUUAGGAGCAUGCCCAAGACUGCAGGUACCAGUAAGACACAGAGCCAGGAGAGGUUAGGCAGCCUGCCACAGACUCAUCCUGCUAGCACUGGUCAUCCCUGGGCUCCACUUGCCCUCUCUCCUGGUCUUAAAGGCAACAUUGAGCCUGUCCUGCUUUGGGAGCAUUCCAGGGCUGACCCUGGGGAGGGCCUUGGGGAACUUGGCAUGGAUGGAUGGGCCAUGAAUGAGCAGAUAAGGGGCAUGCUCACUGGCUCGGCAAAGAAGCCUGCUGAGCAGGUGACACAUGGGUCAGGAAAAAAGGCUGAGCUUAGAGGUCUCAGCGCUGUAUAGAGGAACAGAAAUGUCAGGCUGUGAGCUUGGGUGGAGUCAAAGCGGUGAGGGGCUAGUGGGGGGCUGUGCUGCUUCUGGGAGUAGGAGAGGGUAACCAGACAGCAGGCAGGGUGGGCAAUCACGAAGGACUGCAGAAUCCACGGGAGCCUAUCAUCCUAGCCAACCGUCGGGCAGCGACAGUGACAGGCCCACGAGUCCUCAGAUGACCGCUGCCCACACUGAAAGUCGCCACGCAACUCCUCGGCACGAGGGGUCGGGGUAGGCUGCAGACCAGCAGGGAAGGAGGGGAGGAAGGCGGAAGAAGCGAAGCGAAGGAUGAGGCCGUGGGGGAGGAUGAGGCAGUGCCCUCUGCCAGGCUCCGCUCGCGGCCGCGGGCUUUGGAGGCUCAAGCUAAAAGCCUGGAGCCGCUGGCAGUCAUCUUUGAAAUCCUCUGGACAGAGCUUUUUUGGAAAUGAAGCACAUACAGAAAAAGCAGAUCUAAGAGGAAACAGAUGUCUGACUACUGAUACAACCGGAAGCAAAAGCACUGGAAAUGAGCACCAAGUCCAGUUCAGCUGAGUCUGUCACUCCCUAGUUUUAACUAAGCAGCCCAGUUACUCACUGAUUGGAGUUGUGAAAUUCCUUUUAUUAAAAGUGGUACAUCGCA